CCGAAGCUGAUAUGUGGGCCUUCGCAGCCCAGUCAGCAACUAGGUUAGCAUCACGGUAGCAAUGCUGCAGCUUCAGAUUCGGGAACUCAGCAAGCAAAGCGGCAGCUUCAUCGAUCACCAAUCGAAGCUCCCAUGGCGGCACUCGAUGCCCUUUUACGACUUCAACAAGAUUCAAGCAGUUGGUUUCCACCUUUAGAGAAGCUUCGUGGAGAUGUCGAUCGAUCAGAUAUUGAAGAGAAGACGUCAGAGCCUAAAUUUCUGCUUCAAACGCAGAGUGUGCCAGAACUCAAUUCGUAUACACAUCGGUAAGGCGCCCUUGAUCAUCUCUGUUAAUACAGGCUAUUAUACCUUCAGUGCUACCCGGCUGAUAGCUGGCAUCGAUAUUACAUUUUAGGGUGCCUUUUGCAGGGGGACGCCAGAGGUGAGCCCGAUCAAUGGAAACCAAACCAGAUCUCAAUUGGGAUGAAUCUGAGUGGAGUUGAUACACAGUCAUGUGAGCCAUUGCUGUCUGUACAACCAUGGAGGGAUUCGGAGGUUGAUUUCGAAAAAUA
rnacentral:lncRNA from 1 species